UAGGGAAUCUUCGGCAAUGGACGGAAGUCUGACCGAGCAACGCCGCGUGAGUGAAGAAGGUUUUCGGAUCGUAAAGCUCUGUUGUAAGAGAAGAACGAGUGUGAGAGUGGAAAGUUCACACUGUGACGGUAUCUUACCAGAAAGGGGCGGCUAACUACGUGCCAGCAGCCGCGGUAAUACGUAGGUCCCGAGCGUUGUCCGGAUUUAUUGGGCGUAAAGCGAGCGCAGGCGGUUAGAUAAGUCUGAAGUUAAAGGCUGUGGCUUAACCAUAGUACGCUUUGGAAACUGUUUAACUUGAGUGCAAGAGGGGAGAGUGGAAUUCCAUGUGUAGCGGUGAAAUGCGUAGAUAUAUGGAGGAACACCGGUGGCGAAAGCGGCUCUCUGGCUUGUAACUGACGCUGAGGCUCGAAAGCGUGGGGAGCAAACAGGAUUAGAUACCCUGGUAGUCCACGCUGUAAACGAUGAGUGCUAGGUGUUAGACCCUUUCCGGGGUUUAGUGCCGUAGCUAACGCAUUAAGCACUCCGCCUGGGGAGUACGACCGCAAGGUUG
rnacentral:rRNA from 1 species